UGAGGGAACAAUGAAUUCAAAUGUGUAUCAAAACAAGAGCUGAAGGAAGGGACACUGUGUGAUGCAACAAGACAAUGACCCAAAGCAUGUUGGAGGAAGAAAAAACAAAAAAACAAAAACAGAACCUCCUACAUUCAUCCGGAUGGUGAGGUUUCAUUCUGCUGGAAUACGGGAGACAAUGUCCACAGUCGAGCAAGCUUUACAACCCGUGUUGAAGUUCUAGAUGUGCUGAAAUGAAGUCUUUUUUUCUGCUUGGU